UACGGGGGGGCAAGCGUUGUUCGGAAUUACUGGGCGUAAAGGGUUUGUAGGUGGCCCGCUAAGUCACACGUGAAAUCCCUCAGCUUAACUGGGGAACUGCGUGUGAGACUGGCAGGCUCGAGGGCAGGAGAGGAACGCGGAAUUCCAGGUGUAGCGGUGAAAUGCGUAGAUAUCUGGAGGAACACCGGUGGCGAAGGCGGCGAUUCUGGACUGUCUCUGACACUGAAGAACGAAAGCCAGGGGAGCAAACGGG
rnacentral:rRNA from 1 species